rnacentral:rRNA from 1 species
UACGAAGGGGGCUAGCGUUGCUCGGAAUGACUGGGCGUAAAGGGCGCGUAGGCGGUUUGUCUAGUCAGACGUGAAAUUCCUGGGCUUAACCUGGGGGCUGCGUUUGAUACGUGCAGACUUGAGUGAGGAAGAGGGUUGUGGAAUUCCCAGUGUAGAGGUGAAAUUCGUAGAUAUUGGGAAGAACACCGGUGGCGAAGGCGGCAACCUGGUCCUUUACUGACGCUGAGGCGCGAAAGCGUGGGGAGCAAACAGG